AAUCCAGAUGUACGAAGAAAGUUUUUUGCUGAGAUGUGAUACUUCCAUAACCAUUACCUCGAUCAGGAGAAAAACAGGAGUGAAUGUCCUAACACAUCAGUCUGAGACAGCAUUAAAUCAAAUCACCAGCCACAUAUCUUCACUGGCCUGCAUCCAGCACUUUAUUGGAAUUGAAUCUUUCCAGAAGCCCUCAGCUGAACUACUGACCAGAGAAAACAGCAGCUACAUAACAGCCCAGAACUGGGAUGCAGAUUGACGGGGAGAAGAAGUGACUCCUAAAAUGCUGGCCACAGAACUAGAAACCAGACUGCAAUUUACCUGACUCUCUUCUAGCACAUCCUGUAGCAACACAGAAGAAAGAAGGAAACUAGCAAUGAAAGAAAGAGGUGAUCUAGCAAUGAAAGAAAGUGACUAGAAAACCACAAGCAAAAGACAUGAAAAGAAACAUGAUAUAAGUAUGAAACCAUAUAAAGUAUGAAAACCAGAAUUAAUAGAAAAAGAAGGAUAGGAAAAGCAGAAAAUAUAAA